AUGGUCCUGACAGGUCCUGUAGAGCGAGAUAACAGACAGGCAAGAUCUAUAAACAGGGCUGAACACUAUACGUGUUCAUCUCAGGCAAGCACUGAACCUCAGGCUAGACGCAGAGGUCAGCUCGAAGGCUGCUCCUGCAAGGUUCUGCCCAAUCUGAUUAAGUCCGGGCGAUCCCAGGCACCUUUCUCCAUCAAAGAUGCUUCUAGCUCUGCACAGACACCAGCAGAUCCUUGUGGGGUUUCUGCAUCUACUCAGAAAGUCUGCUCCUCAACACAGCCCAGUUUCUAUUUUCUGUGCUGCUCCUUCUCAGCCCUGGUCCCUGGUUUCUCCUCCUUUCCUUUUUUUGUAAGAAAGCCACAUGCAUAAAGUCCUCUCCAGGGAGGCAAAGUGGCCUCUUGUGUUUAUCCAUCACGUGGACACCUUAGCUGUCAGCUAUUAAGGAAAGCGCUAGAUCCACCCACAUCGUCAACUCCCAAGGGCACAGGAGAAUAGCAUAGGUGUACUGCUUUCUCUGAGGCUGAAGAAGGAAAGAAGAUGGGUGCAGAUGAAGGUACCGCCCUGAGGGAAAAGUAGGGCAGAAAAUUCACUGAUAUUAAUGGUCCAAGCACUAAGGUGAGUCCGAGUCAGGACCCAGAGGAUGCAGGUGUCCCACCCCUCUCCUAAAGAGCUCCUAAAGGGAGACAGGUGCCUGAAUUAUAAUUCGCAUAAAGAAUCCUGGGAGAAAAUAUCAAAUCCAGCCUACUGAGAGAGUCCCCAGAAAGGAGUCAUCGGUUCUGUCUUGGAGAACAUCAAGGUAGAUAUUCACAGGGAAGAAAAAUUUGAAAACUUUCUAGAUUUUUCAGCUUUAUUAAAUAGUGGUAACAGUGGGCUUCCGUGGUGGCUCAGAUGGUAAACGGUAACAGCGGGCUUCCGUGGUGGCUCAGACGGUAAAGCAUCUGCCCGCAAUGUGGGAGACCAGGAGUUCGAUCCCUGGGUUGGGAAGAUAUCCUGGAGAAGGAAAUGGCAACCCACUCCAGUAUUCUUGCCUGGGAAAUCCCAUGGACAGAGGACCCUGGCAGGCUACAGUUUAUGGGGUCGCAAAGAGUUGGACACGAUUGAGCGACCUCAUUUUCAACAGUGCUUUCCACUUUGGGACUUCUCUGAUGGUCCAGUGGCUAAGACUCCAUGCUUCCAGUGGAGGGGGCUCAAGUUCAAUCCCUGGUCAGGGAACUAGAUCCCACAUGCCACAAUGAAGGUCAAAGAACCCACACAGCCAAAUAAAUAAAUGAACAAAUAACAAUAAUGCUUUCCAUCUUUGCUGCACUUUCUGGUUUACAAAAUGUCUGCUGGGCUUUAUUCUCUCUGAUGUGUUCAGGCAUGUAUUCCCUUAUUUAGUGACUAAGCUCCGUGUGUGCCAGGCAAAGCUCUAAAGAUGAAAACCACACAGCCCUGGUCCUCUAAGAGUUCACCUCUGCUAGGACCAGAAGGCAAGCAAACAAGUGAUAACGAGGCAAAGCUUCUCUCCCAGAGUGGAAGUUAAUGUGGUGGCCAAAAGGGGUGUGAAUUUUGUUUUAACCAUGGGUUGAGUGGUAAAGAAGGUUUGGGGACAGAGCGAAGAAGAGAACAUUCAGGAUGCUAGGUGUGAGCAGGAGGAUCUGGGGUGUGACAGAAGGUUGAUUUGGAAAAGAACAUUCUGGAACAACACCAGCAAAGGCAGAUUGAAGAUAGUCAGAAUAUAGGGAAGAAUUUGGGCAGAAGUACAAAAGACGCAGGAAGAUGCAGGAUCUCCUUUGGGGUGAUCCUGGGGUAAGAAAUGCAGAUGGAGGCGGGGCAUCAGAAUUACUUGAGAAACUUCAGAAUACACAUAUCACUGUCUUCCCCAUUCCAGUAUUCCUGGGGAGGAAAGAAAGAAAGAAAGCGUUUGUCGCUCAGUCAUGUUCAACUCUUUGUGAUCCCACAGAUUAUAGCCCACAAGGCUCCCCUGACCAAGGAAUUUCCCAGGCAAUAAUACUGGAGUGGGUUGUCGUUUCCACCUCCAGGGGAUCUUCCCUACCCAGGGACUGAACCCACAUCUCCUGUAUUGCAGGCAGAUUCUUUACCACUGAGCCACCUGGGAAACCCAUCCAUAGGAAUGGCUACCACCAAAAAAACCCAGAAAAUACCAAGUGUUGGCAAGGAUGUAGAGAAAAUGACACCCUUCUGCACUCUUGGUGGGACUGUAAAAUGAUGCAGUCAGAUGGAAAACAGCAUAGAGUUUCCUUUAAAAAUCAAAACUAGAACUAUUUUUAGAUUCAGCAAUUCCACUUUGGGGAAUUCAUCCAAAACACUCCAAACAAGAUCUUGAAGAGAUGUUUGCACACUCAGGUUAAUAACAGCGAUAUUCACAAAAGCCAAGCAGUAGAAGCAACCCAAAUGUCCAUCAACAAAUAAAUAGAUAAACUAAAUGUGGUCAUGUAUACACACAGUGGGAUGCUCGUCAGGCUUAACAAGGAGGGAGACUCUAUCACGUGCUACAACAUGGAUGAAUCCUGAGAUAUCAUGCUAAACAAAAUAAACCAGUCACAAAAAGACAAACCCUGGGCUCCGAUGCUGUAUCCCUACCAUGCAUUGGCUCUGUUCUCCUGGAGGAAUGGUCUGUAUUGAAGAGGAAAAUUUAGAACUGUACAUAACCUCCUGCUCGUUCUGCCUCUGUAACUCAGCUUGCUCCUUGCAAAGUCUGGAUCAUGUAGGUCACAUAAUCUCAGAAAGUGGGGACUCACAAUACUAGGAACUGGAGCUUAUCUCACUCACCCUUGUCCUGCUCUUUGCAAUUGCCCAGCCCCUGCACACCUGCUUAAUCAUGCCUGUCCAUGUAAAGGCCAGGCUUCCCCCUCCUCAUCUUGACUGCUGUUCCCACGCACGUGAAACCGCUUGGUUUAAACCAGCCUAUUAGCAGUUGUGUUGCCCACUAUAGUAGGUUUAUAAAAACUCUGUAACCCCUUUGGGGCUCAGAGCUCUGGGCCUGCCGAUGUAAUAAACCUAAAUUCUCCAACUCGCUGAGGGUGGUGCUUGGUUUCUCUAUUACUGGUUUCUGCAACAGUAUCAGCUUGCUGACCUUCGUGGUAGAAAAAUGGGCUCAGCUUCUCCAGACCUCAUAUUUGCAUACCACCUCAUUCAAAGGAAAAAAAAACAACAACAGGUUUUCCUUCCUCCAGCCCUCAUACAGAAGUCCUGCAUUUACUCCAUGUGGAUCAAACAGAACCAAACUCUGGAGUAAAGGAGUGCCCAUACAUGGAACAGCUUGGACCUCUGAGCCAAUCUCUGUGAUAUGAGACAGAAUUUGGCUGACUGAGUCUAAUCAGGAGCCCACCCCUUGGGUGCUGCUGCUGCUGCUGCUAAGUCGCUUCAUGAGGGGCAGGGUAAAGUUUACCCAAACCGCAUAGCAAAUACAAAGUAAGGAAGUGAUUCUUCAAAGGAAAUCUGCAGUCUGUGAGCAAUGGGAGAGGGAAGGAAUGGAUGCUAUGUAAGAAGCCAACUCUUGGAUUUCCCUGGUUGUGCAGUGGAUAAGGAUCUGCCUGCCAAUGCAGGGGACAUGGGUUCAAUCCCUGGUGAUCCCAAAUGCCUCGGAGCAACUAAGCGCAUGCCCCACAACUACUGGGCCUGUGCUCUAGAGCCCUUGAGCCCCAACUAUCCAGCCUGCAUUCUGCAGCUUCUGAAGCCUGCACAUUCCAGAACCCACAUGCCCCACCUACUGAGCCCAGGUGCCUAGAGCAAUGUUCCACGGCAAGAGAAAGCAACGCAAUGAGAAGCUUGCCCACCACAAUGAAGGGCAGCCCCCACUCACUGCCACUAAAGAAAGCCCAUGCACAGCAAUGAAGACCCAGUGCAGCCAUAAAUAAAUAAACAGUAAAUCAAUAAUUUUUAAAAAGAAGUCAACUCUGGUCCAUGAUAGAGAGGAAAAGGAAAAAGGAGUCAUCAAAGACGGCCCCAAGAUUUCUGGCGUGGCUAGCUGAAGAAGGACAUAGACACUCUUAACAAAGACCAGAAAUAUAAGAGGAGAAGCACUUUUGAGGGUGGCACAGAGAGGUAAGGGGCACACAUGAAUUUGUUGUUGGAAAGACCUAAGAGACAUAUCCCAUGGACAGAGGAACCCGGCAGGCUAUAGUCCACAGGGGUCACAAAACAGUUAGGUAUGACUUAGCGGCUAAACAACAACAAAAGACAUAUAGUUCUUUGAUGCUUGAUGGUCAGUUCUGGCUCUUUCCAGUAGCCCCACACAAGUGAAACCACACCUAAAUGAUCCCACCAUUUUCCAUAACACUAAACCAUGUCUCUUUAGAGUUCUGAAAUACUCCAUUAUUGAUUUGCCAUUAGUGAUUCCCUCUGACCCUGCUAAAUAUUUCCUCUUCCUCUUUAGUACUACAACUUACGACGAUUCUCUGGAAAUGGGGGUUGAGCAGGUGCAGAUAUGAAGACAAAACAUUCCUCUUCAUGUGAGAAAUUAAUCUGUAGCUCUAAUUGCCUCAAACUCUAAAUGAAAAAAAAAUCUGCCUUCUCCCAGCAUUCAAAAUAGAACACAGGCUUUAUCUGAAUAAAGAAAAUAAUCUGUCAGGGGGAAAAAAAGGACUUAAGCUGCUAAAAUGUCAAUCUUACCACAUUGUUAAGAAAAGCAACUUUAAUUACAUUCACAUCUACAAAGAAUGAUUUCUUUUGAGUAGUGCACCCAGGAGCCUAAAGGUCUAAGAUGUGAGAAUUGACAAGGUACCUUAAACAAAGGCAAUGGGGAAAGAGCAGAGUAUAAUGGGGGAGGGGCAUGUUUUCGGAACUGGAGACUUUGAGCCCCAGAGUCAGCCAGCCAUGAAGUCCUUUAGGGCCUCUGUCACGUCCUGUACUGUAGUUCUGUCACAUGUGAUAGGAGGUUGUGGUUUUAGUCACUAAGUCAUGUCUGAUUCUUUUGCAACCCCGUGAACUGCAGCUCGCCAUGCUCCUCUGUCCAUGGGAUGUCCCAGGCAAGAAUACUGGAAUGGGUUGCCAUUUCCUUCUCCAGGGGAUCUUCCCAACUGAGGGAUCAAACCCAGGUCUACUGCAUUAGAGGCAGAUUCCUUACUGCUGACCCAGCGGGGCAGCCCCAUGAUAGAAGGUGCCAAGGUGUAAAUGUUCUCAAGUUGCCUUUCGCAUCUAUGCAAACAUCACAGAAAGUUGAGUCUAGACUCUUCUGCCACC
ensembl:lincRNA